GAUGAACGCUGGCGGCGUGCCUAAUACAUGCAAGUCGAGCGAACAGACGAGGAGCUUGCUCCUCUGACGUUAGCGGCGGACGGGUGAGUAACACGUGGAUAACCUACCUAUAAGACUGGGAUAACUUCGGGAAACCGGCUCUAAUACCGGAUAAUAUAUUGAACCGCAUGGUUCAAUAGUGAAAGACGGUUUUGCUGUCACUUAUAGAUGGAUCCGCGCCGCAUUAGCUAGUUGGUAAGGUAACGGCUUACCAAGGCAACGAUGCGUAGCCGACCUGACAGGGUGAUCGGCCACACUGGAACUGAGACACGGUCCAGACUCCUACGGGAGGCAGCAGUAGGGAAUCUUCCGCAAUGGGCGAAAGCCUGACGGAGCAACGCCGCGUGAGUGAUGAAGGUCUUCGGAUCGUAAAGCUCUGUUAUUAGGGAAGAACAAAUGUGUAAGUAACUAUGCACGUCUUGACGGUACCUAAUCAGAAAGCCACGGCUAACUACGUG
rnacentral:rRNA from 1 species